UACGUAGGGGGCAAGCGUUGUCCGGAUUUAUUGGGCGUAAAGAGCUCGUAGGCGGUCUGUCGCGUCGGAUGUGAAAAUCCAGGGCUCAACCCUGGACCUGCAUUCGAUACGGGCAGACUAGAGUUCGGCAGGGGAGACUGGAAUUCCUGGUGUAGCGGUGAAAUGCGCAGAUAUCAGGAGGAACACCGGUGGCGAAGGCGGGUCUCUGGGCCGAUACUGACGCUGAGGAGCGAAAGCGUGGGGAGCGAACAGG
rnacentral:rRNA from 1 species